GACUCAUUCUAUCCAAUCAACUAGCAACUGGCCUCCAUCAAAUCAUCAUUAAAGCGCAUUUAAUGCUCUGGCCAGAUAACAAGGGAAGAUAGAAGUUUCCAAAAAGAAAUCCCCCAAAACGUUUGUCCGUUACCUUUUGCUUUCCAGAAAACUCUCCCCUUUCCAAAUCAGUCCGAGGUCUAUUGUCUCCUCUGCUCCUCCGCCCGUCGAAUGUAGUUUGAAAUGCCACCUACAAGUCGUCUUCAAUCGUCACACACACUAGUCCUAACCAAAAGCCUAACCACAACGCCUAGACGCAUGCCUGAGCCUCCAUAGCAAACAGAAAAGAAAUUGCUUUGUGGCAGAUGGCCAUAGAAGCCAAGAUUUCCCCCUAUGAGUUCCUUGCCACCACUUCGGAACUGGAUCUUUCCUGAUAGGGGUUAAAAGCCCCAUCAAAGUUUAUCUUAAUGAAUGGAUCGCAAGGGGGUUCCCACAUCUCAUGACCAAUCCUACAGGUAAGAGUUUUCUUUUCUAAACCAUCUAGUUCUCUUAAGUAAUUAAUGGUCCAGUCUGAGAUCUCCUUUCUUGACAUAUUUUUCCUUUCAUACACGAGGCGAUUUCUACUUGUCCAGAGAGCCCAUAGAUCACAACAAAAAAGCCUACAUUGCUCACUGGUGGUAGUUCAAAAAACCUAGGUAAUCCAAUCCCAAGAGUUACCAUCCAAAUUAUUUAAUAUCUAUGAGAGAUUCAAAUUGAGCCAUGUCUUCAUUGUAAUAGGGCAGUCCCGAAAUGUAUGGAUAGAGUCCUCCACAGAAGUACAACACCUCGGACAUUGAGUAUUCACUGCUAUUCUUUUGUAGCUUAGAUUAGCUAAAGUAGGCAUAUAAUUCCAUGAUAGCCUCCAAAUUGUAGUUUUUAUUUUCGGAGGUAUAUGUAAGUUCUAUAGCUUUUUGUAGAAGUGACUAGGAUCUGGUUGUAAAAUAUUAUCAAUAGGAAAUAUAUAUAUAAACGAACAUAAUCGCGAACAUAUAAACAAACAUGUUUGCGAAUGUUAAAUGAA